GACGAACGCUGGCGGCGGGCUUAACACAUGCAAGUCGAACGGAAAGGCCCUGCUUUUUUGGGGUGCCCGAGUGGCGAACGGGUGAGUAACACGUGAGUAACCUGCCCUUGACUUUGUGAUAACUUCAGGCAACUGGGGCUAAUACCGGAUAGGAGCUCCUGCUGCAGGGUGGGGGUUGGAAAGUUUCGGCGGAUGUGGAUGGACUCGCGGCUUAUCAGCUUGUUGGUGGGGUAGUGGCUUACGAAGGCUUUGACGGGUAGCCGGCCUGAGAGGGUGACCGGCGACAUUGGGACUGAGAUAGGGCGCAGACUCCUACGGGAGGCAGCAGUGGGGAAUAUUGCACAGUGGGCGGAAGCGUGAGGCAGCAACGCCGCGUGUGGGAUGACGGCCUUCGGGUUGUAAACCGCUUUCGCCUGUGACGAAGCGUGAGUGACGGUAAUGGGUAAAGAAGCACCGGCUAACUACGUG
rnacentral:rRNA from 1 species